rnacentral:misc_RNA from 1 species
UCUGACACAAAAAUGAGGUUUCCGUUUACGUCUACAACAUUAAUACAUCAUCUCGGAAAACAUGAGAGAAUAGUAAACGCUGAACGAAACGUGCAGUUUUGGAAAGAUCAAAUUGAAACGUUGAGGUGGUUGGAUAAAUUUUAUAGAAAAGCUGAGGAGAAUUUUCGAGCAAAAUGUAAGAAAUGUAAUAACAGUUAUUUAUAUAUCUCCAAUGACAGAAUUAAGGAGCACUUAAGCAAGCAUAAAGACAUUUUCGAUUAUGAAGAAUAUAUGGAGACAACGGAAGACAGAAAAAUUGGCUGGAAAGGUAUGAGGUUCAUAGAUGACAAUGCCCGUGAAAUAGAAUGUAUGAUAUGUAAUGAAAUUUUGUCAAAUAACUCCUUCAUAAACAAUCAUGAAAUACAUUAGUUAUCGGUGAAAAUCAUACCGAUUCUAGUACAUUGCGAAGAAAAAUGAAGGGAAUGAUUAUAACGAUUGUGGCGCAUCAAAAAUAGAAAUGAGGUGAAUAAAAUAAAAAAGGAAAUAUUUCUAUUUCUGCGAAAAGUGUAUCAAAUGCAUUAUUUUUUAUAUGUCGUAGUAUCAAUAAAUAAAAAGCCACACAUAUGUUUGAUGUAGACAUUUUUAUAGAUAAUAGAAUAUUAAUUGAAGGUUAUAAAUUCCGUUAAGAACAACUUUUGCAUUAUUUGGAAAAUAUUAUUUAUCUGUAUUACUGAUUUGCUGUAAGGUUUCUUUCUCGCCCCUUCCAUCUUGCUCGCUCGCGAAAUUGUUAUAUUACUAUACAUUCGCAUCCUACCGUUCUUCUUGAUAACUGUUAGGUAGGUUUAAACGCUGUCAAUAUUUACGUUCAAAUAGAAAAACUGUACGUCUCUUUCCUCGACCACUUCCAUCAGGCACUUUUCGACGAAAUAAUAUUCGCAUCGUCUUCAGUUAAACGCGUUCUAUCGUACAGAUCAGACACAAUGUCCUGGCAAUUAGCAACUGGAGACCUCCCCUGGAUAGAAGAACACUAUAUAAAAAAGGAAUCCAACCACAAUUUUCAAGUGAAAUGUAUAUCUUGCCAAAAUCAUAUUAAAUACGCGAAAGUUCGUAUGUUUAAGAAACACAUACGUAUUGAGCAUUCAGAGGAAUAUAUAAUGGAAUGCGAAAUGCAAUGUAACCGUAAUGUGUGGAAAUAUUUUAUCCUAACAAAGAAAGGAAAUACAAGAUGUAUUGUAUGUAAAAUUGUGAUGCUUGGAAAACAGUCAAAAGAAUCCUUAGAAUAUCACUUAUCGGAAUAUCAUGAGAACGAAGAAGAACUAAAGCCCUAUGAUACACAAAAUUGGGCUUGGAAAUACGUCGACGCAGAGGAAGUUAAUAAUUUUUUUGGAAAAUGUACGCUUUGUAACACAAAAAUGAGGUUUCCGUUGAUGUCUAAAAAAUUAAUACUUCACCUCAAAGAAGAUGGAAUAAAAGUAAACGAUAAACGAAAUGUACAGUUGUGGAAAGAUCAAAUUGACAAUUUGUAUUGGUUGCAUAACUUUUAUGCAAUAGCUGAAAAGGAUUUUCAAGCAGAAUGUAAGACUUGUGGACACAAUUAUUUUUAUGUUUCCAUUAAGACGAUUAAGGACCACAUGAGGAAGCAUAAAAAUAUUUUCGAUUAUGAACAAUAUAUGCAGAAGACGGAAAAAAGAACAUUAGUCUGGAAAGGUAUGAGGUUUAUAGAUAAUAAUGCACGUGUAAUAGAAUGUAUGGGAUGUCAAGAAAUUCUGAAAAAUAAAUUCUUUAUAAACAAUCAUAAAACGCAUCAUAAGCCAUUGCUCUCCUAUCAAAUUUAUUGGGGAUUUAAAUACAUGAAACAACUUGGAGAUUUGGCAAAAUGUACGAUUUGUGAAGAAGAUGUAAAACUUGUUUGGCAUGCAAACCAUUUAAAAAGUCACAUAAAAAAUCAACACGAAGAGAUAUGGACAACAAUGAAUGCAAUGUAUCAACAAGUUAUUCCGUCGACAAGCCAGGCAGCCUAAAAGAAAAAUAAACAUUUCUCUACAUCGAGUUUGACAAUUGGAAAUGGUGGUAGCGACACUUUUAAUUAGCAUGGUUUGACUUUGACCGAAGUGAUUUCAAAUACAUGAAGACUUUGGCAUGUAAUUUGACUUAUUUGUCGCAUAUCAGCUUUAUGAUUAUAAAUAUAUAAAAUUUGUAAAGUUAAAUGUAUUUAUAAAUUUAUAAUUUAAAUGCAAUAUUUUAAAUUUAUAAAAUUAAAUACUAUGUUUAUAAUUUUAAACAAUAUUUAUAAUUUUCAAGCAUGAUAUACUUCAAAUUACGCUUUAAAAUCAAAAACUGUGUUCAUAUAUUAACAUUUCGUGAUCAGCAAUAACGGCAGUGACGAAUCUUCCAUUGACGUACUCAGUACAUACAUAAUACGAAUAACAAAAAUUAGAUCAUUAGUAUUUGUUCGAAAUCUGUCGCAUCGUAGCUUAAAAUAGACAUAAUGUCUACGUCACUCGAUAUUUGAAGAAAGAACCGUUUGCUACAUAUAUUUAGCAAUUGGACCUGAAAAUAUUACUUUUUUGUACAAUAUUUUCAUGAAAAAA